GUGUUCGGGUAAUCGCUGCAUCUCUUUGAGAUGUAGAGGAAAGUCCAUGCUCACACCGUCUGCGAUGUCGGUAGUGUUCGUGCCUGACGAAGUCAUAAGUCAGGGUAGCAAGUAAUUGCUAACGGCAGGGAACUUACCUACGUUACGUUUGUAAUAUGGUAAGACGACCUUGAAAGUGCCACAGUGACGAAGUCUGAUUAGAAAUGAUCAGAGUGGAACGAGGUAAACCCCACGAGUGAGAAACCCAAAAUUUGGUAGGGGCAUCCUUACGAAGGAACUGAACGGAGUAAGGGAUAGGUUCGACCUAUAGACAGAUGAUUGCCGCUUUCGUACGAGGUUGACAACCGUUUGAAGUACGGAGUAACAGAACAUGGCUUACGGAA
rnacentral:RNase_P_RNA from 1 species